GAUGAACGCUGGCGGCGUGCAUAACACAUUCAAGUCGAACGGAAGUAGCAAUACUUUAGUGGCGGACGGGUGAGUAACGCGUAAGCAAUCUGCCUCUGUGAGUGGAAUAACAGCUGGAAACGGCUGCUAAUACCGCAUGACGCAACGGAACCGCAUGAUUCUGUUGCCAAAGAUUGAUCGCACGGAGAUGAGCUUGCGUCCGAUUAGAUAGUUGGCGGGGUAACGGCCCACCAAGUCGACGAUCGGUAGCCGGACUGAGAGGUUGAACGGCCACAUUGGAACUGAGAACGGUCCGGACUCCUACGGGAGGCAGCAGUGGGGAAUAUUGCACAAUGGGGGAAACCCUGAUGCAGCGACGCCGCGUGAGCGAAGAAGUAUUUCGGUAUGUAAAGCUCUAUCAGCAGGGAAGAAGAAAUGACGGUACCUGACUAAGAAGCCCCGGCUAACUACGUG
rnacentral:rRNA from 1 species